rnacentral:lncRNA from 1 species
ACCACAAACAAAGCCGCCGCCACUAAAUCCAAUCCACUACCAACAAAAAUCACAACCACCACUAUCAGAUUUCUAGCCAUGAACAACCACCUCCACCACCAACCACUCACAUAUUAAAUAUUUAAUAGGUUACAAGGCAACAUCCAUUCCAACAGAGCGCACCACCACAUCCAUCGCCAUCACCACUGUCUCCAUUGCCGCCGCCACCAAUAUUUUGCAAUCCCCAACAACAACCCGUACCAUUACUGUUGUACCACCCUCACUAAACUAUCACCAACAACACUACAACCUCACCGCCACAAACCACCACUAAACAACCACCAAAACCACUACCACCUCAUCUGCCUGUGAAUAAUAAUAUGCUCUAUUCGCAACUUUAUAGUCAGAUCUAAGCGUGAGCUACCAGUCUUUGUCUCACACCACCACCAUCCCCUUAUUUUUUUUUCAACAUGAUCUGCAAUGCCGACAACUUCUCCAUCAUCACCCAUAGAUAAAAUGGCCACCUGCUAUCGCUGCGAGACUCCGCUAUUGCGUGCAGUGAUAGUGUGGUGGUGUAGCCUCACAACAAGAGAGAGAUGGUGGGGGGAAGGAGAGGAGGAGAGAGAGAGAGAUGAAAAUGAAUUAGGGUUUUGAUAGAUGGGUGGAUGAGGUGUAUUUUGAUACUUGAUUUGUGAAUAAUGAAACUUCAUCCCUAAUUUUUGAAUUGUAAUCUUUAAACACAUGGGGUUAUGCAAUUUCCUCUUAAUUGAUUUAAGAAGUUUUAGAAAGUUUGGUUCGGGUAUGAUCUAUUCUUAAUUUUCAAACCACCAUCCAACCUGAUCUGAAUCAGUUAACCAACUUACUAGUGAAAAUCCAUUCGAGUCGGUUAGAGUUGGUCCGGAUAGUCGCGUAGACAAUUAAUUUGCC